GGCAGAGAAGCACAGCUGAGGUCUGAACUUUAACAACACAGACAACAUGUGUCUACCUUUUUUGUUUUUAUUAUUUGUCAACUUGACUUGGUGUAUUAGUGGAUUCAGUGGAUCCAAAUGCGGCCCACCGAGUCAUUUUUUGUGGCCCGUGGGACCUUAAAAAGCAUGAAUUAAACUUACCUGAUAGGUUAAAUUAGCGCUCACUUUAGUCAUGUGGCAUACUGAAAAAUCCUCUCACAUAUUUAGAUACUUAUAAUGGUUUAAAGUCUGAAAGAGUUCAUACAGAGUGAUGUAUGUUUGUCUUCUCAGUCUCUAGAAGAACUCAGCUCUGUGAUUGACAGCUCCUCCUCCUUUAGAGCGUACAGAGCAGCUCUGGCUGAGGUGGAACCUCCCUGUAUACCUUACCUGGGUUUGAUCCUGCAGGAUUUGACCUUUGUUCACCUGGGCAAUCCUGACACGUUGAUGACAUCGCAGGGAAAAAAAGUAAACUUUUCGAAACGGUGGCAACAGUUCAACAUCCUGUGCACUUUAAAAAAUUACCAGCAAGCUCCGUACUCUCUGCAGCCCAGUAACGACAUCAUUUUGUUCUUUAACGGCUUCAGCGAUCACUUGGCAGAGGAGGCGUUGUGGGAAAUGUCUCUCAGGCUCAAACCACGGAACACCCCGAAAAUCAUCCAGAGGUAACUGACAAA